rnacentral:rRNA from 1 species
CCUACGGGAGGCUGCAGUGAGGAAUAUUGGUCAAUGGGCGGAAGCCUGAACCAGCCAAGUAGCGUGCGGGAUGAAGGCCCUACGGGUCGUAAACCGCUUUUGCAUGGGGAUAACACCCUCCACUUGUGGAGGUCUGCAGGUACCGUGCGAAUAAGGGCCGGCUAAUUCCGUGCCAGCAGCCGCGGUAAUACGGAAGGCCCGAGCGUUAUCCGGAUUCAUUGGGCUUAAAGGGAGCGUAGGCGGGCGUUCAAGUCAGCUGUAAAAUCGCGCGGCUCAACCGCGCCCCGCAGUUGAAACUGGACGCAUUGAGUUCACAACAGGCAGGCGGAAUUCGGGGUGUAGCGGUGAAAUGCAUAGAUAUCACGAGGAACCCCGAUUGCGAAGGCAGCCUGCCGGGGUGCGACUGACGCUGAGGCUCGAAGGUGCGGGUAUCAAACAGGAUUAGAUACCCCAGUAGUC